GAUGAAGAACGUAGCGAAAUGCGAUACUUGGUGUGAAUUGCAGAAUCCCGUGAACCAUCGAGUCUUUGAACGCAAGUUGCGCCCGAAGCCAUCAGGUUGAGGGCACGUCAGCCUGGGCGUCACAUAUCGUUGCCCAAUGCCUAUUGCAGUGCAAUAGGAAUUUCUAGGGCGAAUGAUGGCUUCCCGUGAGCGUUGUUGCCUCGCGGUUGGUUGAAAAUCGAGUCCUUGGUAGGGUGUGCCAUGGUAGAUGGUGGUCGAGUUAGAACGAUACCGAUCAUGUGCAUGCUCCCCAAAAUAUGGCCUCUAUGACCCACACGCGUCUUUUGACGCUCAUGACGAGACCUCAGGUCAGGCGGGGCUACCCGCUGAAUUUAAGCAUAUCAAUAAGCGGAGGA
rnacentral:misc_RNA from 1 species